AACGCGAAGAACCUUACCUACUCUUGACAUCCAGAGAACUUUCCAGAGAUGGAUUGGUGCCUUCGGGAACUCUGAGACAGGUGCUGCAUGGCUGUCGUCAGCUCGUGUUGUGAAAUGUUGGGUUAAGUCCCGCAACGAGCGCAACCCUUAUCCUUGUUUGCCAGCGAGUAAUGUCGGGAACUCCAGGGAGACUGCCGGUGAUAAACCGGAGGAAGGUGGGGACGACGUCAAGUCAUCAUGGCCCUUACGAGUAGGGCUACACACGUGCUACAAUGGCGCAUACAGAGGGCGGCCAACUUGCGAAAGUGAGCGAAUCCCAAAAAGUGCGUCGUAGUCCGGAUUGGAGUCUGCAACUCGACUCCAUGAAGUCGGAAUCGCUAGUAAUCGUGGAUCAGAAUGCCACGGUGAAUACGUUCCCGGGCCUUGUACACACCGCCCGUCACACCAUGGGAGUGGGCUGCAAAAGAAGUAGGUAGUUUAACCUUCGGGGGGACGCUUACCACUUUGUGGUUCAUGACUGGGGUGAAGUCGUAACAAGGUA
rnacentral:rRNA from 1 species